GAUGAACGCUGGCGGCGUGCCUAAUACAUGCAAGUCGAGCGAACAGAUAAGGAGCUUGCUCCUUUGACGUUAGCGGCGGACGGGUGAGUAACACGUGGAUAACCUGCCUAUAAGACUGGGAUAACUUCGGGAAACCGGAGCUAAUACCGGAUAACAUAUUGAACCGCAUGGUUCAAUAGUGAAAGGCGGCUUUGCUGUCACUUAUAGAUGGAUCCGCGCCGUAUUAGCUAGUUGGUAAGGUAACGGCUUACCAAGGCAACGAUACGUAGCCGACCUGAGAGGGUGAUCGGCCACACUGGAACUGAGACACGGUCCAGACUCCUACGGGAGGCAGCAGUAGGGAAUCUUCCGCAAUGGGCGAAAGCCUGACGGAGCAACGCCGCGUGAGUGAUGAAGGUCUUCGGAUCGUAAAACUCUGUUAUCAGGGAAGAACAAAUGUGUAAGUAACUGUGCACAUCUUGACGGUACCUGAUCAGAAAGCCACGGCUAACUACGUG
rnacentral:rRNA from 1 species